rnacentral:rRNA from 1 species
GACGACGCUGGCGGCGUGCUUCACACAUGCCGGUCGAACGGAAAGGCCCUGCUUUUGUGGGGUGCUCGAGUGGCGAACGGGUGAGUAACACGUGAGUAACCUGCCCUUGACUUUGGGAUAACUUCAGGAAACUGGGGCUAAUACCGGAUAGGAGCUCCUGCUGCAUGGUGGGGGUUGGAAAGUUUCGGCGGUUGGGGAUGGACUCGCGGCUUAUCAGCUUGUUGGUGGGGUAGUGGCUUACCAAGGCUUUGACGGGUAGCCGGCCUGAGAGGGUGACCGGCCACAUUGGGACUGAGAUACGGCCCAGACUCCUACGGGAGGCAGCAGUGGGGAAUAUUGCACAAUGGGCGGAAGCCUGAUGCAGCAACGCCGCGUGCGGGAUGACGGCCUUCGGGUUGUAAACCGCUUUCGCCUGUGACGAAGCGUGAGUGACGGUAAUGGGUAAAGAAGCACCGGCUAACUACGUG